rnacentral:rRNA from 1 species
UGGCUCAGGAUGAACGCUAGCUACAGGCUUAACACAUGCAAGUCAGGGCAGCAUGAAGUUGCUUGCAAACUUGAUGGCGACCGGCGCACGGGUGAGUAACGCGUAUCCAACCUGGCCCGCAGUAGGGAACAGCCGGCGAAAGUCGGAUUAAUGCCCUAUGUCUUCCUUUGCAGGCAUCCAAUGAGGAAGAAAGAUUUAUCGCUGCGGGAUGGGGAUGCGUCUGAUUAGCUUGUCGGCGGGGUAACGGCCCACCGAGGCUACGAUCAGUAGGGGUUCUGAGAGGAAGGUCCCCCACACUGGUACUGAGACACGGACCAGACUCCUACGGGAGGCAGCAGUGAGGAAUAUUGGUCAAUGGGCGAGAGCCUGAACCAGCCAAGUAGCGUGCAGGAACCGACUGCCCUAUGGGUUGUAAACUGCUUUUAUGCGGGGAUAAACUUCAGCACGUGUGCUGUUUUGCAGGUACCGCAUGAAUAAGGACCGGCUAAUUCCGUGCCAGCAGCCGC